rnacentral:tRNA from 1 species
CCAACCAUAGCUCAGUUGGUAGAGCGGAGGACUGUAGUUGCAAAGUGGUGAUCCUUAGGUCGCUGGUUCGAAUCCGGCUGGUUGGA